GUGGGGGAUGAAGUGUCGGAUCUGUGGAACUGUGGAGAAAAAGGCCAGGAGUGAUGUGGGAGGGGGUGCACCUCUAAUGUGGCAGGAGGGGGCACAGCCCUGGAGGAGGAGCCACCCCGGCCAUCGCUCCACAGCCAGCCUAGCCUCGGCCCAGCCUCUCGGUUUUCUGUCCCUUCAACCCCACACUUACUGCCCUCUGAUCAGGGUCUGAGAGACAGAGAGGAAGCCCCCGCCCACUCCAGCCCUAGACCAUCUCUCUCUGUCCCUCCUGCACCGGGGGCUUUGACACCUCAGCCCUUUAGGAUUCCUGAGCCCCCCAUCCCGACCUGGGUUCCUCCCCUGCUGUUGGCCAUCCCCUACCAGGCCCCCACCCCAGGAGAGCUGUCUUCUGGUGCAAGGGUCCCAAGAGGCAGAGUUGGAAUGAGCUGAUGCCAGGAAGGACAGCUGUGGUCAGGGACCUGGAACGAGCCUCCUCCCCCUGGGAAGGCCUCUGACCCCUCAAGGACGGCUUGUCUGAGAGGGGAGGUUCCACCUACCCUGAGGCUGGCAACGCUGAACAACGGGUGCCUGUUAGCUCAGACCCCAAGCGGGGGCUUCCUCAGCUCUGCUCCGUACCAAGCAGGCAGGCGGCAGCUGCCAGGGCUCGCGUGCCUUUGAAAGUUCAGGAGUUCUCAAGACCUUAAGGAUGGGUGCUUUUGUCCAUAACGCAGGGCCAGGGCUCCUGUGUCUCUCAGGCAGGGGGUCCCAGGACCCCGGACGAUGCCCUGUUCUUGGCUCCUUUCCCCACAAGGUCACUGGUGCCAGAUGUCCUGGGUUAACUCGGGCCCCGCUGCCUCCUCCCUCCCCUGGGCCCUCUCCAUAGGCCUCUCUGUCCACAACUGGGCUGUCUCACUCACUCCAGUGCCCCCGGCCCCACCCCACACACCAACCUGCUGGGCGGGGAAGCACCAGGAGCGCCUCCCCAUGCUAUCUAAAUAUUAACUCCUGGAGAGGUGGAGCCUGGGCACCUGGACAUUCAGGCAGGAAGGAAAGGGCGACAGGGACCUGAAGAAAAGGAAGGAUGAGGGCCCCAAGGUCUCCAUUCUCAUCAGGGAUUGGGAGCCAUGUUUCCCUGCUUCCGGGCACUGGACUCUGCUGCCCGGACCCCAGAGACUCCGCUCCUCCAACAUGCUGCCACCAGACCACAGUCAUCGGGUGCCCCCAAAACCCUUCCUGAUCUCCUCCCUGCCACAGCAUAAGGAUCAAACUCUUCAUCAUUUGACCCAAUCACUUCCUGCCACUUCUCUACACAAAUUUCAGCUCCAGCUAAGUAGACGGACUGCUCCCCUUCCCUGGAGCACACCUCCCAUUUUCCUGCCUCUAAGCCUUGAUUUUCGCGCCCGUUUUUCUGCUUCUCAUUUUCUGCUUUGUGCAUCUUUUCUCCACUGAAAUCAUGCAAAUGCCAGGCCUCCCACAAAGCUCCCCCACCUUGGCCUAUGCUCUCUCCUGCCCCAGAACCCACGGUGCCUGGGCAGGGGAGUGGAGAACCUCGAACACAAGGUGUGGAAGCUGGGCAGAAUCUCGGGUGCAGUGCUCACUAGCUGUGAGACCGUGAAUGGCCUGGUGCCUCUGAGUGUGAACUCAGCCACGUGUGCUACGUGGGAACAUCUCACCGCCCUAAAGAAGGGGUGCAAGCCAGUGUCCCUGCACAUCUGCUGAGCUUGGUACAUAUUAGUUUCCUUAUUUCCAAUAAUUCUUAUCUCCCCUUUCCCUCUUUGGGGAUGUUCAAAAAAAAAAAAAAGAAAGAAAGAAAAAAGAAAGAAAGAAAGCUUUGUUAUAC